AAAACAAUAUUAUCACUCUAUUUAAAGGAUUGAAAGAGGUUUGUUUGGAGUUGUGUGCGGUUGUAUAGUUAUAAUUGUGAUAUUUCAUUCAAAAGUUAGCAGAAAAUAGAAAAAGAUAAAAAAUGGAAAAAGAAAAGAAGGAUGACAAUAUAUAUUCCUUCUAGAAAAAAAAAAGAAAAAAAAAAAGAAAAGAGAAUAAAAAUAGUUGCAAGGUUGUUGUUUGAAAAUGAAUGAAGUUUUAUGUAUUUCAACUCCGACAAUUUUUUUCAAUUUUAGCCUCGUACCCCUUAUG
rnacentral:lncRNA from 1 species